rnacentral:rRNA from 1 species
GACGAACGCUGGCGGCGUGCUUAACACAUGCAAGUCGAACGGUGAACCUCUUCGGAGGGGAUCAGUGGCGAACGGGUGAGUAACACGUGGGCAACCUGCCCCCGGCUCUGGGAUAACUCCAAGAAAUUGGGGCUAAUACCGGAUGUUCACCGCUUCCCGCAUGGGUGGUGGUGGAAAGGGUUUCCGGCUGGGGAUGGGCCCGCGGCCUAUCAGCUUGUUGGUGGGGUAGUGGCCUACCAAGGCGACGACGGGUAGCCGGCCUGAGAGGGUGACCGGCCACACUGGGACUGAGACACGGCCCAGACUCCUACGGGAGGCAGCAGUGGGGAAUAUUGCGCAAUGGGCGGAAGCCUGACGCAGCGACGCCGCGUGGGGGAUGACGGCCUUCGGGUUGUAAACCUCUUUCAGCAGGGACGAAGCGCAAGUGACGGUACCUGCAGAAGAAGCACCGGCCAACUACGUGCCAGCAGCCGCGGUAAUACGUAGGGUGCAAGCGUUGUCCGGAAUUAUUGGGCGUAAAGAGCUCGUAGGCGGUUCGUCGCGUCGGCUGUGAAACCCGGAGCUCAACUCCGGGCCUGCAGUCGAUACGGGCGGACUUGAGUUCGGCAGGGGAGACUGGAAUUCCUGGUGUAGCGGUGAAAUGCGCAGAUAUCAGGAGGAACACCGGUGGCGAAGGCGGGUCUCUGGGCCGAAACUGACGCUGAGGAGCGAAAGCGUGGGGAGCGAACAGGAUUAGAUACCCUGGUAGUCCGCGCCGUAAACGUUGGGCGCUAGGUGUGGGGGCCAUUCCACGGUCUCCGUGCCGCAGCUAACGCAUUAAGCGCCCCGCCUGGGGAGUACGGCCGCAAGGCUAAAACUCAAAGGAAUUGACGGGGGCCCGCACAAGCGGCGGAGCAUGUUGCUUAAUUCGAUGCAACGCGAAGAACCUUACCUAGGCUUGACAUGCACGGAAAAGCGGCAGAGAUGUCGUGUCCUUCGGGGUCGUGCACAGGUGGUGCAUGGUUGUCGUCAGCUCGUGUCGUGAGAUGUUGGGUUAAGUCCCGCAACGAGCGCAACCCUCGUUCCAUGUUGCCAGCACGUGAUGGUGGGGACUCAUGGGAGACUGCCGGGGUCAACUCGGAGGAAGGUGGGGAUGACGUCAAAUCAUCAUGCCCCUUAUGUCUAGGGCUGCAAACAUGCUACAAUGGCCGGUACAAAGGGCUGCGAUACCGCGAGGUGGAGCGAAUCCCAAAAAGCCGGUCUCAGUUCGGAUUGGGGUCUGCAACUCGACCCCAUGAAGUUGGAGUCGCUAGUAAUCGCAGAUCAGCAACGCUGCGGUGAAUACGUUCCCGGGCCU